rnacentral:snRNA from 1 species
GUGCUUGCUUUACUAUCACAUACACUAAAAUUAUAAUACAGAGAUUAGUGUAGCCCCUGCUCACAUAUGAUACUCAUAUAUAUGAAAUGGUCCAUAUUUAU